rnacentral:pre_miRNA from 1 species
CCACCUCCGCAGGCUGGUGGCCCCCAGGGCUGGGCUGGGGGAGUCCUUCUCCAAAAGGCUCACCCUCAAGACUGACCAGGAGC